rnacentral:rRNA from 1 species
UCCUCCGCGGCCGCCCCCCUCCCCGGGGGGUGGCCAGCGCCCGCCAGAGGACCAUCAAACUCCAGUCAGUAAACGAUGCAGUCUGAAAAACAUUUAAUAAACUAAAACUUUCAACAACGGAUCUCUUGGUUCUGGCAUCGAUGAAGAACGCAGCGAAAUGCGAUAAGUAAUGUGAAUUGCAGAAUUCAGUGAAUCAUCGAAUCUUUGAACGCACAUUGCGCCCUUUGGUAUUCCGAAGGGCAUGCCUGUUCGAGCGUCAUUACAACCCUCAAGCUCUGCUUGGUAUUGGGCACCGUCCUUUGCGGGCGCGCCUCAAAGACCUCGGCGGUGGCGUCUUGCCUCAAGCGUAGUAGAACAUACAUCUCGCUUCGGAGCGCAGGGCGUCGCCCGCCGGACGAACCUUCUGAACUUUUCUCAAGGUGACCUCGGAUCAGGUAGGAUGCCCGUUAU